GGCCCCUGUGUCGGGUGAUUUUAGCGAGAUUGUGGUCGGCAAUCUGGGAGCUGCGUGAGAUGGCGUCUAUACAGGUUGGUCGUCAGGCUCCGCCCCCAAACUUUGGAUGUUUUAACUCUUUCAUGAAUCCGUGAGUGCUGGUCACCUGUUGCAAAUUGGAUAUUUGAACUUCCCCAGGACUACAAGCACCCGGUAUGUAACCAUUUAGUUAGAG